CCGACCCCUCAAGGAUCUGAUCACGGAAACUGAUUACGUUUUCCAGAAAGUAAGAAAGAGACCGCGGACAGCUUUAAGUGACGUAAAAACAAAGCCACGAAAGAUUUAUGAUACGAUCAAAAAGCUUUUAUUAUUUUCCCUUGCUUGCCCCUGGCUAUGCCGUCAUCUUUUGUUUUUGCUUUCUACGUGGUACCUUAUGACGUCAUAAUUUAUCCAGAAACUAUUGUCCCUUUUCAAGACAUUAUUUCACGGACACGAAACGUUCGAACAAAUAAUGCCUCUUAGAUCUUAUUUGUUUCGUUAUUUCAUAUCAUUAUACAGACACACAUACAUAUAUAUAUAAUAUAUAUUUUUUUCCUCUAUCAAAUAAUGUAAUGUAUAUUCAUAAUAGCGUAAAAUAUAGUAUAUAAUAUGAAUGAUUAUCGAAAUCCAUAAAUAACCGGUGUUAACGAGAUAUUAAAUGUUCUCAUAAACUGUCAUUAACUGUCGAAUGCAUCAUUAUGCGUCAUAAUGCAAGGACGUAAAUAAUAGUAAAAUUUAUUACAUAUACAUAUUAAAGUAUCUAUACACGUUUGGCAAAUAAUUAUUAUUAGAUCUUAAAAUAAAAUUUUAUAAGAACGAUUGCGUCAUUGUAAUAGCUCGAUGUUGAAAAAGAAAAAUCAAAAAGAAAAAAAAAGGAAAAGAAAAUACAAGAAAAUACAUCUCGAAACGAAAACUAUAAGAUUUAAGCUAUUUUCAUAAUGAUCAACUCGUUUUACGAUAUUCGAAAAAUAAUUAUUUCUGUCUCGUAUAUACCAGUAUGCAAGUGGAACCUUAAAGCACGACGACGACGACAAGGACGAUAGUGAAAGCGUUUGGUAGAUAAUUGAAAAGCUAAGCGACGGGAAAAUUGCGAUCGGAGAGCAACCAAUCGUCCGUGAAAAUUGAAAAACUAUUUCGAUCUGGUGCUACUCUCAUUGGGUGGACUAUCAUCAAACUCGUCUCUCUUUCUCUGUCUUUCAUAUAAAAACUCAUAUAAAUGAUAAUUGUCAUGAAACGAACGAUAAUACGAAAUACGAAAGGAUUAAUGAGAAAUGACAAUUAUCUUAUUACAUGUAUCGUUUAAAACUAUCAAUUGAAUUUUUAGCAAAAAAUUUAAGCUGAAAAUGUUCGUACGUAUUGAUCGUCAAAAGAAAAAAGAAAAGAAGGUAUUGUCGUUAAUCUCGGACAAAGGAUCGUUAGGGACAGCUGCUCUUAAAAUUCUACCCUCGACGAGUAAGAAUUUUUCAAAGUGUCCCCUUCCUCUUAUUUUCUUUUUUUUCUUUUUCUCUUAAACUCGGUCAGACGAAUUAACAUACUGGUCAAACGUGUGCCAAUCCACGUGGUCACGUUAUUCCUAAGAGUAAUACAUCUACCUACAUACAUCUACCUACAUAUAUCUACCUACCUACCUACCUACCUACCUAUAUAUUUACCUACCUAUCGACCUAUCCUAUAAGCUAUCUUACUUGCAAUUUGCAUUACUUAGUUUUAUAGAGGAACGAGUAGUUGGUAGAAGCUCGUAGCUUCACAAAGAAGUUGUUUACGUGAUCUCCGCGUUUGUAAUCAUUAAAUAUAAUCCAGUGAAAUUAAACGGAAGUUGAGUGCAAAUAAGGAAAAACAAAUGUCAGUUAAAAUAUAAUCUCGUUACUAUUGCAUCAGAUUCUUUUUUUACAUGAGAUGAAUCAAUUAAUUUAUGAAUCAUAAAUUAUUUUGUGUCAUUUACGAAUUAUAAUUUUAUGUCAUUUAUGACGAAGUCGUAACUUAACAUCGGUAUAAUUCAUUUGUUUGUGUUACUUCUCAUUAUUAUUUUUUUUCACCUUCCUUCUCUUUUUUUUUUUAUAACAUUGAUAUUGACGUUAGAAAUGUUCGUAACAACUCGUUGGAUGAACUAAGAGAACUAUCAAUGGAGUAUCCGUCCCCAUUAAUAGGGAAUAUACCGACAUUUUGAAGAAAUCAAGAGCCAUUGUGUCGAUGGCAUUGAAUAGCCCAACCCAUUUUUCUACUAUGUCGCCGGCAACCUCGAUAAGAAGGUAGACGACGGCAGACUAAAGGGGAUAAGGAGGGGUAGAUGAGUGUUAGAGCAAAAGAGAAAGAAUUCGUCGGGGGUGAGACAAUGGAAAAAGUACCGCCAUCUUUAAUUCCGUACCCAACCGUCGCUCGAGCGAUACUCCUCGUCCACCCCCCUAGUCCAGUACCACGACUAACCCCUCUCCCUCACUCUUAACAUCAUCACCCCUCCUCCUACAACUGAAUGAACGAGCUUGGCCCUCGGAGCGAGAAGAAAGAAAAAGUCAGCUAUGUCGAUACAAAUGAUGUACUAACUUACCGAUGCACCACUAUUCCACGAAGAUAUAAGGUCCUAUCGACGAAGAUUUAAAAGACUACGUUUUCUUUUUCUUCUCUAUUUUUAAUAAAAUAAUAUAAUAUUAUAUUAAAUAAUUAUCUACAAUUUUUCUGUUAUGGAUUAUUAAAUAUUCACGCAUCGCCGAUCUGUAUAA